rnacentral:rRNA from 1 species
CCUACGGGCGGCAGCAGUGGGGGAUAUUGCACAAUGGGGGGAACCCUGAUGCAGCGACGCCGCGUGGGUGAAGGAGCGUUUCGGCGCGUAAAGCCCUAUCGGCCGGGGAGAAGAUGACGGUACCUGGCCAAGAAGCCCCGGCUAACUACGUGCCAGCAGCCGCGGUAAUACGUAGGUGGCAAGCGUUGUCCGGAUUUACUGGGGGUAAAGGGCGUGUAGCCGGGAAGGCAAGUCAGAUGUGAAAUCCGGAGGCUCAACCUCCGAAUUGCAUUUGAAACUGUUUUUCUUGAGUACUGGAGAGGCAGACGGAAUUCGUUGUGUAGCGGUGAAAUGCGUAGAUAUAAGGAGGAACACCAGUGGCGAAGGCGGUCUGCUGGACAGCAACUGACGGUGAGGCGCGAAAGCGUGGGGAGCAAACAGGAUUAGAUACCCCUGUAGUC